AAGAACAGCCCUUAGCCAUGGUAUAUUGGCCAUAUACCACACCCCCUCGGGCCUUAUUGCUUAAUUAUGUUACCCUUGAUAAUAGUUGUGAAUUGAUUCAUAUCACAAGUUAUUACUGAAAUCAGACACAGUUGAGGCUUUUUGUAUUAUUCAAUAAAUGUGUUUUAUUGAUGAUCACCACACUUUUCCCUUUGACAAUAAAUCUGCUGAAGUUCUAUGUUCCUUUACGUGUUAAAGAUAGAUACAGAAGUAUAUUGCACUUAAAACAAAAGAUGAAAGAACAGUCAUGAAGCUCACAAGAAGAAAGAGGAAAGCGAUCACAAUGCCUUCCUUACAGCACAGCCUGUGGAGGCAACAUGAGGGCCUUGCACGAGCCUUCUCCGUACCAUUCACACAGUUAGCUUUUUUAAAUAUACAUCUUUUAAAAUAGCAUUUCUAUUUAAUUCAUUUUUAAACUAUUACCUACAGGAUUAGAACUAAUAAGGUAGCAUGCACAGACAAGCAGGGUUUAUUGGAAUGAUGGACAAUCUUCAUGAUGAUUUUUCUACAUCAGGAUUCUGAAGAGUUUUGGAGAAUGCAACUGAACCAUUAUUUAUUUUUUUGCACAAUACAUUGAUACUGUUACUGUUUUUAUUCUGUUUGUUUUUUUAUUUGGAAAAAUUCACUGUGUGAACCAUUAUAAAUACCCUAGAUAUAAAAUGUAUUGAUAUAGUGAUCCGAGUCACUAUCUGGCAGUCAGGUUUGUGUGUGUGAUGUGGUUUGUGUAUGCCUAUGAAUACAAUGUUAAUUCUAGCCUUUAGAAUGACGCUGACAUGAGUUAACAGUUGAAGUCUUGGUUUAGACAACCUUGAAGUCAAAGACCACAGGAAAACUGGUUAAAUUGCAGCACAAGAAGAUUGAACAUCUUCUCAUGGAGUUGCUGAGAUAUAAAGGGAUACUGUUGUUCUGAAUCCCAUUCUCUAAGUGAAAGCCCAUUGCAAGCACUGUAAAAUUAUCCAAUAUUUGUUAUACAGAAUGUUCUCUCAGCUAUACAAUAUAGCAGGCGUGUUAGUUUGUCUUACAGACAGCUUUGCAAAGGCAAUUACCUGUACGGUCGAAAAUCAGUCUCUGAAAAUGAAGAACUUUUUAUUUAAUCAAUUGUUGACUAAUUAAUUGCUCUCGUUUCUCAGGGCAACCAUUAGAAAUAGACAGACUUAAGACUAGAGUAAAGAAAUAAAAUAACAGACUUUCUGCCCUAAAAAUAAGUUUGAUAUGCACUGUAUUCACACACAAUAGAGGAGACAGUCCGACAUUGACUGACAACCCUUUUGAGUUGAUGGAGCAGAAAACAUAUACAACUACUAACUAGUAUGUCACCAAGGCAACCAAGAUAUCAAUGUCCUCCACGGAGAACGUAAAGGUUAAUCUGCUUCUUCACAUUCGGAUCAGCUGGAACACGCUUGGAACUAGCCUGGUUAAACCAGACUGAACGGUGCUCUCAGUAUUGCUAUCUCAGAACUUCUCUCAGUCUGUUAACCGGGCUAUCUCAGAACUUCUCUCAGUCUGUUAACCGGGCUAUCUCAGAACUUCUCUCAGUCUGUUAACCAGGCUAUCUCAGAACUUCUCUCAGUCUGUUAACCAGGCUAUCUCAGAACUUCUCUCAGUCUGUUAACCAGGCUAUCUCAGAACUUCUCUCAGUCUGUUAACCGGGCUAUCUCAGAACUUCUCUCAGUCUGUUAACCAGGCUAUCUCAGAACUUCUCUCAGUCUGUUAACCGGGCUAUCUCAGAACUUCUCUCAGUCUGUUAACCAGGCUAUCUCAGAACUUCUCUCAGUCUGUUAACCGGGCUAUCUCAGAACUUCUCUCAGUCUGUUAACCGGGCUAUCUCAGAACUUCUCUCAGUCUGUUAACCGGGCUAUCUCAGAACUUCUCUCAGUCUGUUAACCGGGCUAUCUCAGAACUGCUCUCAGUCUGUUAACCAGGCUAUCUCAGAACUUCUCUCAGUCUGUUAACCGGGCUAUCUCAGAACUUCUCUCAGUCUGUUAACCGGGCUAUCUCAGAACUUCUCUCAGUCUGUUAACCGGGCUAUCUCAGAAUUGCUCUCAGUCUGUUAACCAGGCUAUCUCAGAAAUGCUCUCUCUGAUAAUCUGCAUGGUCCGGUAUAUUUGUGCAAUGAGCAUCGGCAAUGGAAAGAAAAAGACAUUGCGGCAUUCAAAGCAUGUUUACUGGAAGCGUUAGCCAAUGAAUUAUUUUUUCUUUGUCUCUAUGCUAUGAUUUAUAUGCUUGUGCCAUAUGUGUCUCAGAAAAACUGGAAUACACGGCUGAAUAUUCUGAUUUGCCUCAAAGAUUGCACAAUGGUACAAUUUGUCUAGACCCCCGAACAAGACGUGUUGGUCUUACAAUUUGUUCUCUGUAAGCCUCAAAAACUCAAUGUCAUGAUGCAACAACAUGGAAUUAAAAAUGGAAUGAAAACAUGUCUUUUUGUCUCAUUUUCUAACAAAGUUAGUCUU